rnacentral:rRNA from 1 species
GAUGAACGCUGGCGGCAGGCCUAAUACAUGCAAGACGAACGGUAAGUUGAGUAGCAAUACUUAGCCAAGAGUGUCGUACGGGUGCGUAACACGUAUGCAACCUACCCUAUACAGGAGGAUAGCCUAGGGAAACCUGGAUUAACCCUUCAUAGUAUUAUUGGAUGGCAUCAUUUGAUAAUUAAAACUGAGGUGGUAUAGGAUGGGCAUGCGUCUGAUUAGUUAGUUGGCGGGUAAUGGCCCACCAAGACGAUGAUCAGUAGGGGUUCUGAGAGGAAGAUCCCCACACUGGCACUGAGAUACGGGCCAGACUCCUACGGGAGCAGCAGUAGGAAUAUUGGUCAAUGGAUGCAAGUCUGAACCAGCCAUGCCGCGUGCAGGAAGAAGGCCUUCGUGGGUUGUAAACUGCUUUGCAGGGAUAAAUUCCAUGCGUGGAAACUGAAGGUACCUGGU